GAUGAACGCUGGCGGCGUGCCUAAUACAUGCAAGUCGAGCGAACAGACGAGGAGCUUGCUCCUCUGACGUUAGCGGCGGACGGGUGAGUAACACGUGGAUAACCUACCUAUAAGACUGGGAUAACUUCGGGAAACCGGAGCUAAUACCGGAUAAUAUCUUGAACCGCAUGGUUCAAUAGUGAAAGACGGUUUUGCUGUCACUAAUAGAUGGUUCCGCGCCGCAUUAGCUAGUUGGUACGGUAACGGCUUACCAAGGCAACGAUGCGUAGCCGACGUGAGAGAGUGAUCGGCCACACUGGAACUGGGACACGGUCCAGGCGCCUACGGGAGGCAGCAGUAGGGAAUGUUCCGCAAUGGGCGAAAGCCUGACGGAGCAACGCGGAGUGAGUGAUGAAGGUCUUCGGAUCGUAAAACUCUGUUAUUAGGUGAGAACAAAUGUGUAAGUAACUAUGCACGUCUUGACGGUACCUAAUCAGAAAGCCACGGCUAACUACGUG
rnacentral:rRNA from 1 species